rnacentral:tRNA from 1 species
UGGCUCAGUGGUAAAGAACCUGCCUGCAACGCAGGAGACCUGGGUUCGAUCCCUG